rnacentral:rRNA from 1 species
AACGAACGCUGGCGGCAUGCCUAACACAUGCAAGUCGAACGAGACCUCCGGGUCUAGUUGCGCACGGGUGCGUAACGCGUGGGAAUCUACCCUCAGGUUCGGAAUACCUCAGUGAAAUUUGAGCUAAUACCGGAUGAUUACGUAUGUCCAAAGAUUUAUCGCCUGAGGAUGAGCCCGCUUUGGAUUAGGUAGUUGGUGAGGUAAAGGCUCACCAAGCCGAGGAUCCUUAGCUGGUCUGAGAGGAAGAGCAGCCACACUGGGACUGAGACACGGCCGAGAAUACUACGGGAGGGAGCAGUGGGGAAUAUUGGACAAUGGGCGAAAGCCUGAUCCAGCAAUGCCGGGUGAGUGAUGAAGGCCUUAGGGUUGUAAAGCUGGUUUACCCGGGAUGAUAAUGACAGUACCGGGAGAAUAAGCACCGGCUAACUCCGUG